rnacentral:rRNA from 1 species
GACGAACGCUGGCGGCGUGCUAAACACAUGCAAGUCGAACGGUGAAGCUCCAGCUUGCUGGAGUGGAUCAGUGGCGAACGGGUGAGUAACACGUGAGCAACCUGCCCCUGACUCUGGAAUAAGCGCUGGAAACGGCGUCUAAUACUGGAUACGAGAAGGGUCCGCAUGGGCACUUUCUGGAAAGUUUUUCGGUUGGGGAUGGGCUCGCGGCCUAUCAGCUUGUUGGUGAGGUAAUGGCUCACCAAGGCGACGACGGGUAGCCGGCCUGAGAGGGCGACCGGCCACACUGGGACUGAGACACGGCCCAGACUCCUACGGGAGGCAGCAGUGGGGAAUAUUGCACAAUGGGCGAAAGCCUGAUGCAGCGACGCCGCGUGAGGGAUGACGGCCUUCGGGUUGUAAACCUCUUUCAGCAGGGAAGAAGCGAAAGUGACGGUACCUGCAGAAGAAGCACCGGCUAACUACGUG